rnacentral:rRNA from 2 species
GUUGGGUAGGGGAGCGUUCUGUAAGCCUGCGAAGGUGUACUGUGAGGUAUGCUGGAGGUAUCAGAAGUGCGAAUGCUGACAUAAGUAACGAUAAUGCGGGUGAAAAACCCGCACGCCGGAAGACCAAGGGUUCCUGUCCAACGUUAAUCGGGGCAGGGUGAGUCGACCCCUAAGGCGAGGCUGAAAAGCGUAGUCGAUGGGAAACGGGUUAAUAUUCCCGUACUGGUGGUAACUGCGAUGGGGGAACGGAGAAGGCUAGGUUGUCCGGGCGACGGUCGUCCCGGUUCAAGCAGGUAGGCAGAGUGAUUAGGCAAAUCCGGUCACUUAAUGCUGAGAUGUGAUGACGAACCACCAAGGUGGUGAAGCAAUUGAUGCCCCGCUUCCAGGAAAAGCCUCUAAGCUUCAGGUUACCAACAAUCGUACCCCAAACCGACACAGGUGGUCAGGUAGAGAAUACUCAGGCGCUUGAGAGAACUCGGGUGAAGGAACUAGGCAAAAUGGUGCCGUAACUUCGGGAGAAGGCACGCUGGCGGUAGGUAAAGUCCCUCGCGGACGGCGCUGAAGCCAGUCGAAGAUACCAGCUGGCUGCAACUGUUUAUUAAAAACACAGCACUGUGCAAACACGAAAGUGGACGUAUACGGUGUGACGCCUGCCCGGUGCUGGAAGGUUAAUUGAUGGGGUCAGCCGUAAGGCGAAGCUCCUGAUCGAAGCCCCAGUAAACGGCGGCCGUAACUAUAACGGUCCUAAGGUAGCGAAAUUCCUUGUCGGGUAAGUUCCGACCUGCACGAAUGGCGUAAUGAUGGCCAGGCUGUCUCCACCCGAGACUCAGUGAAAUUGAACUCGCUGUGAAGAUGCAGUGUACCCGCGGCAAGACGGAAAGACCCCGUGAACCUUUACUAUAGCUUGACACUGAACAUUGAGCCUUGAUGUGUAGGAUAGGUGGGAGGCUUUGAAGUGUGGACGCCAGUCUGCAUGGAGCCAACCUUGAAAUACCACCCUUUAACGUUUGAUGUUCUAACCUAGGCCCAUAAACUGGGUCGGGGACCGUGUCUGGUGGGUAGUUUGACUGGGGCGGUCUCCUCCUAAAGAGUAACGGAGGAGCACGAAGGUUGGCUAAGCAUGGUCGGACAUCAUGCGGUUAGUGCAAAGGCAUAAGCCAGCUUGACUGCGAGAGUGACGGCUCGAGCAGGUACGAAAGUAGGUCUUAGUGAUCCGGUGGUUCUGAAUGGAAGGGCCAUCGCUCAACGGAUAAAAGGUACUCCGGGGAUAACAGGCUGAUACCGCCCAAGAGUUCAUAUCGACGGCGGUGUUUGGCACCUCGAUGUCGGCUCAUCACAUCCUGGGGCUGAAGUAGGUCCCAAGGGUAUGGCUGUUCGCCAUUUAAAGUGGUACGCGAGCUGGGUUUAGAACGUCGUGAGACAGUUCGGUCCCUAUCUGCCGUGGGCGUUGGAAGAUUGAGAGGGGUUGCUCCUAGUACGAGAGGACCGGAGUGAACGCACCACUGGUGUUCGGGUUGUCAUGCCAAUGGCAUUGCCCGGUAGCUAAGUGCGGAAGAGAUAACCGCUGAAAGCAUCUAAGCGGGAAACUUGCCUCGAGAUGAGUCUUCCCUGUC